rnacentral:rRNA from 1 species
UACAGAGGGUGCGAGCGUUAAUCGGAAUGACUGGGCGUAAAGGGCGCGUAGGCGGUUGUGUAAGUUGGAUGUGAAAUCCCCGGGCUUAACCUGGGAACGGCAUCUGAAACUGCAUGACUGGAGUGCUGUAGAGGGUGGAAGAAUUUCCGGUGUAGCGGUGAAAUGCGUAGAUAUCGGAAAGAACACCAAGGGCGAAGGCACUCUGCUGGGCCGAAACUGACACUGAGAGACGAGAGCUAGGGGAGCAGAUGGG